rnacentral:tRNA from 1 species
GGGGUUGUGGCUCAGCAGUAGAGCGCUUGCCUAGCAUGUGAGAGAUGCUGGGUUCGAUCCUCAGCACCACA